GUGAUGGCACGAUAACUGAACAUUGAUCGCCAAAAACAGUUUAGUUUGCAGAUCUGUCCAGUGGCAUGCGUCACACUUCUAAUAGAAGAUUUUCUUCUGUGUCAUCGGUGAUCUCUCGCUGCACGGCGACGGAUCGUACGCACGAUUGAUGUC
rnacentral:snRNA from 1 species